GGGGGUGACCUGGAUUCGACGGGGAACGAGAGGUUCUGAACUGCAUACCGUGGAGCCGUACCACGUUAAUCCUCGGCAGCACUGCAUAAGUGCCAACAACUACGCACUGGCUGCUUAAUUCGUAAGUAGCCCGUCCUCCGUGGGCCCGCCUGUCGGCGCGCGGAAGGACGCCGCAAGGACAGGCUAGCAACGCAUCGUGCUCCGGGAUGCGGGGCGAAUCCCGAAAGGGAACCACCGAAGCUGGCGCCAAGGGCAUCCCGCUUGUCGGAGUUCCUCGGCGUGAGAUCUAACGACAAGCUACGUAUGGAGACGUUCAGAACGGCUUUUCUUCGGACCGGGGUUCGACUCCCCGCACCUCCACGA
rfam:Ignavibacteria bacterium RIFCSPLOWO2_12_FTLL_56_21 rifcsplowo2_12_scaffold_304, whole genome shotgun sequence.